UACAGAGGUCUCAAUCGUUGUUCGGAUUCAUUGGGCGUAAAGCGCGUGUAGGCGGUCCGGUAAGUCCGCUGUGAAAGUCGGGGGCUCAACCCUCGAAUGCCGGUGGAAACUGUCGGGCUAGAGUACGGAAGAGGCGAGUGGAAUUCCUGGUGUAGCGGUGAAAUGCGCAGAUAUCAGGAGGAACACCAAUUGCGAAGGCAGCUCGCUGGGACGUUACUGACGCUGAGACGCGAAAGCGUGGGGAGCAAACAGG
rnacentral:rRNA from 1 species